rnacentral:tRNA from 1 species
GGAGGAGUUCCCGAGCGGCCAAAGGGAGCAGACUGUAAAUCUGCCGGUAGACACCUUCGUAGGUUCGAAUCCUACCUCCUCCACCA